AUAGGCAUAAAAAAGGUAGUUGAAAUAAGACCAGGUGUAAUCCAGGAGAUGGUGAGGGAAAACAGUCUGUGCCCAGUACAGAAACAGUGAGGCAUUAAACAUGCAACUGUCUCUUGGGCUCCCAGACUCAGAACACACAUCAAAGGCCUGAACUUGGUCCAAACCAUAAUUUCUUUUUUUUCUUCCUUCCCUCCCUUUUUUUUUUUUUAUUUUGGAGGGGGGAAUCUCAACAGCCUUAUAUAAACCAAGUUUCACAACCUGGGGCAGGUGCAUAGCUUUCUCUGUACUCCUCCUAUUUUCCUUUCACAGGAAAAAAAAAAGGUGAGACAGAAAGGCAGACCAACUUGUGCCUUGCAGUGGUGUUAACUCCUAGCAAAAGUUGUUGGGAGAUUGGAGCACAGUCUCUCGGCAGGAGCCAGCAGCCUUAUGGGUCUGUGCUGGGAAACAGUUACGAUGCUUGUGCUUUUGCAGCCUAGGGAAAGGAAAUGUAGUGACUCAACAUGCUCAUGCCAGUGGGUGUCAUCUUCGUGUUGAGAUGCAUGUAAUGGCAUCAGGAAUUAAUUCAGUAUUCCCCUUGCGCAUAAGGCUGACAGGAACUAACUCAGACCGGAGGCAUGCUCUGGCACGCAUGACGUCAUGACUUUGAAGGCACUUCUCACAAUGGUCUCGGGAAACCACCAGCCAACUGGUGGUGUGCUGCUUGGCAAGAGGAGGGAACAGGACAAGGAAGCCGAGCCCUCCUACAGAAGGAAAUUCUAGGAGAGCUUCUCCAUAGAUGUGGGUCUCACGUUCUGCUGCGAUCCAUGGACCUUUGGUCACCAGCCCUCUGUGUUGGAGCAAGUCUGAGGUAAAUGAUGCAUUAAAACGUUGGGCUUCCUCUAGGGCAGUUAAUUUUUACAUUUCAGAUGCUCCACAGCAGCAGAGAGGAAGGACAGAAGUGCAAGAAGACAGUGUAACAUUGCUGCCAUUGCAGCCAUACACAGUAAAGUCUCACGUCUAGGCAAUGUGAUCUUGUAGUUUAAAGUUGCUAAUUACAAUUGCUUAAUGGAAGUGUGACAAAUGCUGCCUCCUAAUUGGAAGAAGUAGUGAUUCACAGGAAGCCUAACAUAUCCAGGACUCCCAGAUACAAGUUCCUUAUGCUACAAGACAUGAUGCUGGAGAUAAACACCUCCAGUGUAUUAACUUCAAGCCAUAACUUAAAAAUGGCUGAAGGCACCACUGGUGAAGAUUUGAUAACAACUGCUCUCCAGUUUGGUAGUGAGUGCAGGAUCAGAAGCUGUGUCUGAACAUCUAGAUCUCAGCUGGAGCUAACUUGAUGGUCCUCAAGCACCCUCUGCUAAACAGUGCAAUAGAUUGCUGCAGGUCAUUUUUGCCAGGGCACUAUAUGCAGCACCAACCAUGUACUGAUUGAGAAAAAACAUUUAUGUUUGCUGAAAAGGCUUCACUCUAUGUGGCAGUGGUUCUUUACAUGUGCAGCCAAUACACACCACACCUCGACAGGACCCACAAGUGCACACAGCACAGGAGAUUAGGAUAUAUGUGCCUGCACACUCUUAUGAAGUUGAGCCUUAGGUGACAACUAAUUCUGAAUGACGUGUUAAAAAAAGCCACAGAUAUGCAGUAAGGGCUAAUCCUAACCUGAAAAAAUGAUUCUCUUUCUAUCCUUGUCUGACCCUUGGGAAAGAAAGCCUAGUCUCUGACAUUGACUUUACCCAUGGCCUUAGUCAAGUCUUAGUCUCAACUUCUUAGCUUUAUACACUGGGCAUAAUAAACAUUUUGUUUUAGUUG